rnacentral:rRNA from 1 species
UCCUGUCUGAAUAUGGGGGGACCAUCCUCCAAGGCUAAAUACUCCUGACUGACCGAUAGUGAACCAGUACCGUGAGGGAAAGGCGAAAAGAACCCCGGCGAGGGGAGUGAAAAAGAACCUGAAACCGUGUACGUACAAGCAGUGGGAGCACAGGUUUACCUGUGUGACUGCGUACCUUUUGUAUAAUGGGUCAGCGACUUAUAUUCUGUAGCAAGGUUAACCGAAUAGGGGAGCCGUAGGGAAACCGAGUCUUAACCGGGCGUUAAGUUGCAGGGUAUAGACCCGAAACCCGGUGAUCUAGCCAUGGGCAGGUUGAAGGUUGGGUAACACUAACUGGAGGACCGAACCGACUAAUGUUGAAAAAUUAGCGGAUGACCUGUGGCUGGGGGUGAAAGGCCAAUCAAACCGGGAGAUAGCUGGUUCUCCCCGAAAGCUAUUUAGGUAGCGCCUCGUGAAUUCAUCUCCGGGGGUAGAGCACUGUUUCGGCUAGGGGGCCAUCCCGGCUUACCAACCCGAUGCAAACUGCGAAUACCGGAGAAUGUUAUCACGGGAGACACACGGCGGGUGCUAACGUCCGUCGUGAAGAGGGAAACAACCCAGACCGCCAGCUAAGGUCCCAAAGUCAUGGUUAAGUGGGAAACGAUGUGGGAAGGCCCAGACAGCCAGGAUGUUGGCUUAGAAGCAGCCAUCAUUUAAAGAAAGCGUAAUAGCUCACUGGUCGAGUCGGCCUGCGCGGAAGAUGUAACGGGGCUAAACCAUGCACCGAAGCUGCGGCAGCGACACUGUGUGUUGUUGGGUAGGGGAGCGUUCUGUAAGCCUGUGAAGGUGUGUCGUGAGGCAUGCUGGAGGUAUCAGAAGUGCGAAUGCUGACAUAAGUAACGAUAAAGCGGGUGAAAAGCCCGCUCGCCGGAAGACCAAGGGUUCCUGUCCAACGUUAAUCGGGGCAGGGUGAGUCGACCCCUAAGGCGAGGCCGAAAGGCGUAGUCGAUGGGAAACGGGUUAAUAUUCCCGUACUU